rnacentral:rRNA from 1 species
CAAUAGCGUAUAUUAAAGUUGUUGUGGUUAAAAAGCUCGUAGUUGGAUCUCGGCGGUCUGAGGGCGGUUCGCUUGCUUAAGCGCUACUGCCCUAUAGGCCGUAGUUUUGCCAGAGGCCUCGGGGUGCUCUUAACCGAGUGUCCUGCGGCGCUGGCGGGUUUACUUUGAAAAAAUUAGAGUGUUCAAAGCAGGCCAACGCAUUGAAUACAUUAGCAUGGAAUAAUGGAAUAGGACUUUGGUCUUAUUUUGUUGGUUUCUAAGGCCGAGGUAAUGAUUAAUAGGGAUAGUUGGGGGCGUUUAUAUUCCGUUGUCAGAGGUGAAAUUCUUGGAUUUACGGAAGAUAAACUACUGCGAAAGCAUUCGCCAAGGAUGUUUUCAUUAAUCAAGAACGAAAGUUAGGGGAUCGAAGACGAUCAGAUACCAU